AGCGAAGCAUGGAGAAGCUGUGAGACCCUGCUGAAAGGAAUUUGUAGGCACGUAGGUGGUCAACCAGAAGACAAGUGAGCCGUGUCCAUAACUACCCAGACAACCUGCAGCUGUGUGAGAAGGGAAGGCUUUUUGUUCUAUGCCAGUGAGAUUUUGUUGUCAUGCGGCAUUAUUGUAGCAGUAGCUAACAGUAAGUUAUUGUGAUUUUUUGGCUCCUGACGGUUUUCCAUUGCUUUGAAAUGCAGCUGGACAUACUGCUGCUGGGUUCUGUGGCAUACAAAGGAUCCUAAUUAAAAACAAAACAAAACAAAUGUUUCAAUUUCAGCUAGUUUAAGCAGUUUGCCCUUCCUUGCAACGAAAAGAUUUCCCACCUAUCAGCUACGCAGCUGCAGUCAUUCGGGUAAAGUUGGUGGGCACGCUGAAAUUGCUGGGCCAUCCUUCCGACUGUCUUCUGCUGUGGAGACCAUUUGUGAGUUGCCAGUGAUCCCUGUAAGGAAUUGCGGACAAUCAAGCUGUGGGCUGCUGGCCAUGGACCACAUGCUGGGUAGACGAGAAGAAGGCACAUGGUGGAUGUUUUACAGACAUGUAAGUAGGAAUUUGCAAAUUGAACCAGCAAGUGCCUGGUA
rnacentral:lncRNA from 1 species